CACGCGAUUCGUAGACCUAGGAGCCGUCCAAGAAACAGAAAAAGAGGACAGAAUGGUAGACCAAACAUGCUAAAAGAAAGGGCAGUGAAUGAAGAGUUAUGGUGUUAUAUCUGUACCAGAGGUGACGAAUUGACAGCCUCUAACUAGCAAUGAUAGAUACCCGGUGGCUGCAAUUGAUGGGGUCCCCGAGAAAAUGACUGUGCAAGAUAUCUGUGAUCUAAUAUGGGAUGUACGCAUUCAAGACAGUGAAAAAUCAGAAUCCGUUUCUACCAACACAAAAUUGUUGGCUGUGUGGAAGGCUAUGUGGCAGUUCAUGUGCAUUUGUAGUUUGUUUUGAAAACAUUAAAUAGACCAUUAAUUGUUUUUUUGGUA